CUCCCUUUGUUCAUAUGUGAAGUCAAGCAGCCCAACUUUUUUUUUGUCAUCUGGGGACAACUGAUGAAUUCUCACAUCAUUGCUGGGAAGGAGCCUAAAGCUCAGUUUCUGUGUUUACUCUUUCAAGGAACAUGUGCCAAGAGCCUGCCAUGAGCCAGGUUCAAGGACUCGAAAGCACUCUGAAUGUUGCUUCUCCAAGGGGGUUGCUGGAGACUUGGAGUCUCUGCCUAGCCCCACCUCUUCAAAACAACUCAGGAUUCUGCCUAAGCACUCCUUUCAAGAUGAGGACACCCUCCCAGGUUGGAGAAGCUGUUUCCAUGACUGUCAGACGGGAAAUCCCUCAGUGGAUGGCAGCAUGUACUCAUUUCCUAUUGAUGAAAAGAAACGAACUCCUGGCCUCUAACUUGCUCAGCUCCUACUGAGCCACCUGUCCUUUGCCCUCGAUACUGAACUCUCCUCAGUGAAUCAGCAUUCAUCCUCUGACCCUUAGGAGAAGAAUACGUGGACACAUUUUGAACCUAACAGUAUCAGAGAAUUACGGCUAUAGGAUACAUUUGGCUUUGUGGCGAUACUGCUGAGACGAGCCCUUUAUUAUUUCUCCACCCGUACAUUGGCAUGUUAUCUGGGGGCUGGUCAGAAGUUUCAAAAAAAGUCCUCUGUGACUAGAAAGCAUCUCUUCAUCUCUCAGUCAUGACUUAUAAUACAGGUAAUUCACUUAAGACUCCACAUUGUGGAGAUUUGGGGCUGACUCAAGGGGUGUCUAGGAGAAUGAAUGUUCAUUGCAAUGAAAUCUUUUCUAAGUUAAAAAGAUUAUUUGGCAAAAUUCUGAGAGCUGCUGAUAACGCAUUGAAAUUACCUUUUAUGUCAGAAUCAAUAUAAAAUUUCACAAAAAAACCCAAAGUGCAUAAAAUCAAUAACAAUAAUCCCAAAGUAAUUAAAUUCCAUCAUCAUUUCCAAAAAGUUAAGUCUUCUUCCAAAAGCUUUCUAAACUUCCUUAUUUGAUUUUACUCUAGAAGAGUCAGGUUUUGUUCCUAGUAGUUUUGAAUCAAGACCCUCUCUCAACAUGGUCUGAGUUUUCUAGAUUCACCAGCAACACUGCUUACCAAAGCAUGGUCAAUAUUUACUUUUCUUUUAUGCUCUAGAGAUGAAUAUUUCUAUAACUUUAUAAAAUGUUAAUAAUUUUGUUAUUUCUACCUUGCAAGAAAGCUAGUUAGCUUCUUAGAGUAAGUCAAGAAGUGUUAAAAAUUAACUAAAAUGUUGAGUUACAUGUGAAACUUACUACAUAAUUAAGAAUUGGGUUAAAUAACUUUCUUUUUUGAUUUUUUAACAAUAGAGUCUCAGAUUUUAAGCUAACAUUAAAGAAAAAGAUCUAUAUAUUUGCAGCAUUAUGGGGACUCUGUCAAGAUGAUAUGGCAUUUCAUAUCUUUAAAAAGAAAGAAAUUCUUGCGAAAAUCAAAACAUGCCAUGGUUUGCAGAGCCUCUAAAGUGAGUUUUAAAGAGAUUAUCUUUAAUUAACCAUGAAUGUGAUUGUAAGAUAUUAAAAUUAAUAGCCCAAUUCUUAGCUAAAAUUAAUUGAAAAUGAUGCUUAAUGCACAGGUUGCUUAGCAAUUACAUUUUUAUGUUUUCAUAUUAAUUUUCCAAAGUGGCUGCUCAGUUUAUGCAUGAUAGCCAAAAACAGCUCAUUAGAUUCCAAACCAAUGUUUUUCUGAGUUUGUAAGCAACAUCUUGUUAUAAAAAAAGGUUCUAAAUCUCUGGUUCUUAGCAUUUUAUUUUCUUCAUUAUUAUCUAUUAGACACAGAAUCAAAUGAAAGCUAUGCCUUCUCAUUCCAGAAAAAUACACAUGCAAUUAUAUCAGCAGUUUUCCCCUAUGCUUAGAGAGAAUUCACUGUCAGCCUGAUAUCCUGCAGGACCGUUCAAUUAUCCAUAAACCUUGGAGGUUAAGAACCUUGUCCAAGAGUCAGGUCAAGGUUUUAUGUAAGAUCAAAAGGCAUGUCUGUAUCUUUGCUUUGUAGGAACUACUUCCAUGCCAAGUUUAAUCCAUCGGUAGAAUAGCAGGAAGGGUUUAUGAAUAUUUAAUAUUUAUUGAGCUACAUUUCUAAAGGUGUUUGUGUGUGGAAAGCACAUAAUUACAUAUUUUAAUAUUUCAGCCAGUCAGAAGGUUAGAGAAAGCAGAGAUGACAUAGUGAAAUGCCAUCUUUUCACCAUUUAUUUCCUGAAAAGGUUCCAAAAGAUCAUGUUUCAGUGAGUUUAACAACGUGCUAUGAUACCAACCUAGAUGGCACAGUGGUAAAGAAUCAUCCUGCCAAUGUAGGGGAUGCAAGAGACACAGGUUCGACCCCUGAGUAGGGAAUAUCCUCUGGAGAAGAAAAUGGCAACUGGUUCCAGUAUUCUUGCCUGGAGAAUCUGAUGAACAAAGGAAACUGGUGGGCUAGAGUCCAAGGGGUUGCAAAGAACUGAGACGACUGAGUGAACACAAUAGCAACAAUGAUACCAACAACUUUCCACUCAUACAUGCUUCCAUCAACACCAGGCGAUGUGCACCAAUUCCAAGACCAAUCCAGGUCCUCGCUCACGCAAAGAUGAAAGUCACUCCAUAUGACACAAAGCUUUGACUGCAAACACACCACGUUCCUAGUCUGUGCCAUGGAAUCAAUCUACAGCCCUAGAAUAUCUUCGUUCACCCAUAUUUAUAAUCUAAAUGUCUUUGGAAUUUGUAAGCCAGAGUGGGCUUCAACUAACUAAAGUGAGCUUCAUUUGUUUGGCUCAUUUGGUUUUCUUCCAUUUCUUAUCCAACAAAUCUCAAUAGGCUCUUAGGUGAAAAAAAAAAUACAACAAAUAAAACUAAACUCUGAAUUGAAAGCA
ensembl:lncRNA